UUACAGAUGCAUUUCAGGACUUUACUUCCAAGAAAGAACUGGGCAGUGGUCUAUCAGAAUCAAACAGUUCUGAGGCCCCCACCCUAGCAAUGCAUCUGGGAGACAUACUGCCAUUGGAUGCCUCCUAAGAUGUGAAUGCCAGGCUGGAUCAGAUCCAAGGCCCAUCCCUGACUCUCACAGUGGCCAGGUCCUUCGGAAGAAGGAGGAAGAAACCCCUCAGUGGGUUUCCUCCAUGGACUGAGUGGCAUUAGCACGUGCGGUACUCCCCAGCUUUGGGGAUUUGGAUAACACAGGACCAGCUUCCAGGCCAAACCUCCUCCUCUCCAGCUCUGGAAAAUCUAUUCUGGACCAUUACGCUGAAGGAAAAAUAUGGAGGAGAAUGGGUUAGGUUCUUCCGUGUGCAUGUGCUGGGGAUGAGAUGUCCUUGGGAGCCCAGCCUCCCUCUUUGUUAUCGUCGGCAGAACGGC